rnacentral:rRNA from 1 species
UGCCAGCAGCCGCGGUUACACCAAGAAAUUAAGUCAUAUUUUAAUGGUAAAAAGACAGUUAGACAGUAAUUAAAAGUUUUUUGAUUUCUUAUAUAAAAGUAAAAUUUGCAUAUAAAUUCUAUAACCCAAUAAUAACUACAAGGUUGAAUCUGUGACAGCUUGGAGGGAAACUGGGAUUAGAUACCCCACUAUUCCUAGCUAUAAAUUAAAAUUGAAUUUACCAGAGUACUACGAAUAAUUAAAAUUUAAAACUCAAAGGACUUGGCGGUAUUUUAGACCACUUAGGGGAACCUGUCUCAUAAUCGAUAGUCCACGUUACACCUAACCUUUUUUUGUCCUCAGUUUGUAUAUCGUUGUCGUCAGGUAACUUUUCAGAAAUUAGAAGUUAGCUAAAAACAUUAAAUUAAAACGUCAAAUCAAGAUGCAGCUAAUAAAAAGGUGAGGAUGGGUUACAAUUAUUUUUAAUUAUAAUUACGGAGAAUCAUAAGAAUUAAAUGAUUAAUGAAGGAGGACUUAAAAGUAAAUUAGAUUAUAUAAAUAAUUUGAAUAAGGCUCUGAAAUGUGCACACAUCGCCCGUCACUCU